rnacentral:rRNA from 1 species
UACGAAGGGGGCUAGCGUUGCUCGGAAUCACUGGGCGUAAAGCGCACGUAGGCGGCUUUGUAAGUUAGAGGUGAAAGCCCGGGGCUCAACUCCGGAACUGCCUUUAAGACUGCAUCGCUAGAAUUGUGGAGAGGUGAGUGGAAUUCCGAGUGUAGAGGUGAAAUUCGUAGAUAUUCGGAAGAACACCAGUGGCGAAGGCGACUCACUGGACACAUAUUGACGCUGAGGUGCGAAAGCGUGGGAGCAAACAGG